rnacentral:rRNA from 1 species
GAUGAACGCUGGCGGCGUGCCUAAUACAUGCAAGUCGAGCGAACGGACGAGAAGCUUGCUUCUCUGAUGUUAGCGGCGGACGGGUGAGUAACACGUGGAUAACCUACCUAUAAGACUGGGAUAACUUCGGGAAACCGGAGCUAAUACCGGAUAAUAUUUUGAACCGCAUGGUUCAAAAGUGAAAGACGGUCCUGCUGUCACUUAUAGAUGGAUCCGCGCUGCAUUAGCUAGUUGGUGAGGUAACGGCUUACCAAGGCAACGAUGCAUAGCCGACCUGAGAGGGUGAUCGGCCACACUGGAACUGAGACACGGUCCAGACUCCUACGGGAGGCAGCAGUAGGGAAUCUUCCGCAAUGGGCGAAAGCCUGACGGAGCAACGCCGCGUGAGUGAUGAAGGUCUUCGGAUCGUAAAACUCUGUUAUUAGGGAAGAACAUAUGUGUAAGUAACUGUGCACAUCUUGACGGUACCUAAUCAGAAAGCCACGGCUAACUACGUG